UACGGAGGGUGCAAGCGUUAUCCGGAUUUACUGGGUUUAAAGGGUGCGUAGGUGGGUCUGUAAGUCAGUGGUGAAAUCUCCGGGCUUAACCCGGAAACUGCCAUUGAUACUAUAGGUCUUGAAUUAUCUGGAGGUGAGCGGAAUAUGUCAUGUAGCGGUGAAAUGCUUAGAUAUGACAUAGAACACCAAUUGCGAAGGCAGCUCACUACGGAUAUAUUGACACUGAGGCACGAAAGCGUGGGGAUCAAACAGG
rnacentral:rRNA from 1 species